CUUCCACCUCCCUCCUCCCCACCUCCCCACCCGGCGGCGCCUUCUCCCACCUCCCACCUCCCACCUCCCACGGCCUCCUUUCAUGGCGGUACCCCGACCUAAUGGAUCUUCACGGUCUUCAUUCGGGCCUGGUCAGCCGGUGCAGAUGGAGUGGAGUGGCAGAUGCGCGUGCUCUUGGGCGUUGCCGGCGAGAGAAGGCGGGGAGGAGCUCUGCCCAACCCUUUCAUGGAGCUCGCUCAGCCGCCGGCCGACCGUGGUGGAGAAGAUGGCGACGGCAGACGAUAGUUCCCCAUGGUGAGGUGAUCUCUCCCAUACCCUCCUUCCUCUCACCUCUCCCUCAAGAUCCCGUUCUGGAACGAGAUGGAUGAAGGUGACCACCCAGCUGGUUGACUCGCUGCCACGCGUAGGCCACCUCUGCCCGCACGUUGAGGUUGAGGCACACCAUCUUAGGAGCGUGGACUCAAGUGACGUUGAGAAUCCUGGGAACAAUAUUGUCAUGACUGGUUUCUCAUCUCAUCUAACUGACUGAGAUCUAGAGAAGCACUUUUCUACAGAGGGAGAGGUGAUUGAUGCAAGUAUAGUACUUGAUCCAUGGACAAGGGUAUCACGAGGAUUUGGAUUUAUUACCAUGGGUACUCUUAAGGAGGCAGAACGUUGCAUCAAAUAUCUUAACUAUUCAGUGCUAGAAGUUCGUAUCAUUAUUGUUGAGAAGGUAUUGCUAAAAGACAGUUAACUCUCUGAUAUUUGUCCAUUCUCUUUCCAUACGGAGGGGAAUUAAUAUUUACAGAUGAGCCUUCCAAGCUGAAUAUUUGAGUGCUCUUCUUGUUUGAAAUUUUUUGUUCACAAUAGUAGGUUGAUGCCCGCAGUUGUUUGAAAUCAAAUUCAAAGGAUACACAACCUAAGAUCGACACAUCCCUACCUGAACCAAAGGGUCGUAUGCCCAUCAUUAUUAUUAUUUUCAAUGCUAUUUGUGUUCUUCAUAUCCCCAAUUAAUUUAAUCAGUCUUACUUUUGACAUAAAACGCAAGUUGACUUUGAACCCCUUCUCCACCACAGGCAAGGUCGAACCCCAACACCGAGAAGGUAUCUUGGCACCAAAUCAUCGCGAGAAGAAGGGAUGUGUUGGUGUGCACGAGGUGUUAAUACUUAAUAAAGUUUUGCAUUCUUUGUUCUGGUGGAUUUGGUGCGUUUGGUUGCCAUCUAUGCUGAAUUUUUUUCCUUAGAUUGUUCUGGUGUUUUUGGUGCAAACUGAUUAAGGAGGGCCUAGGAGUUUGUCAAGUUUGCCAUGUAUGCCUAAUACAAUUUUCUUAGCUUGCUACUGCAAUUGUAUGAUUGUGAUCCCAGUAGGUCAAGACUACAUUUGUGUUGUUGAACCGAGAUUCGCUAAGCUUGGCAGAGAGGAUAACCUUUUCUUUUGCAGAUAACUGGGCUCUAAAAGAUUCAAUAGUUACAUGUGGUUUUGUAUCUGCAGUUUGUUUGCAUGUAUUUUUUUGAGGUUUUUGAUGACCAGAAUUAUGAAAUUUUCUUGGUUAAAAUCUUUAUAUGUGGCAUGAUCUCUGAAAACAAAAUAGAGUAAUAUAGUUUCCUUCAAGCUGCCAUUGCAAUAGAAGAUGAAGUGUAUCUUCAUGAUCAGUAGAUCCGUGCGUGAUGCUGCCUGUUGUAGUUCUAUCGCUAUGCAGACAUGUUCAAGAAAUGCAAGUAAUAUAGUUUUGAUGAUGUCUGAGUGUAUCUUGUGUAUGUGCAGAUAAAGCAACCUUGUUCAGAAGUGCUUUAUCAAGUUCCUGUAAAAAAGCUUUCUAGAUAUAACAUUAUGUUUACAGUUUCGCUCGGCUUCCCUAAUCCCAAAGGUAAUAAUAUGAUUCCUUUAUGUUGUUUGCCCAGAUUCAGAAGUGAAUUUUUGCGGUAUAUUUGCUUGUUGUGUGUACUGUAAAUUCUAAGCUUUCUAGGCAUACAUGUGCACGUGUAUUUUUUAGGUACUAAUAUUAUUUCUUUAUGUUGUAAACUCUAGGUGUCUUGUAAACUCUUAAGCUUUCUAGGCGUUCAUGUACAUGUGUAUUUUUUUAGGUAAUAAUAUGAUUUCUGUCUGUGGUUUGCCCAAAUUCAGAAGUGAACUUUGCUGUAUAUUUGCUCGAUGUGUGUCAUGUAAACUCUAAGGAUUCUAGGCGUACAUACACAUGUGUAUUUGUUGAAUUAUCUACCUUAUGACUGCACAGACCGUUUAAACAAACCGUGACCCCUUCUUCUAUGUAACACCUAUUUUUUAUUGUCCAUCAAGCCCCAUUUUUUUGCGGUUGCAGCCACCUGAUCACUACACUGAAUGAGUAAGUAGGACAUUAUUUAUGAUGGUCGUUCUUCCUUUCACGUCUCCCAAUAUGCAAUUUUUGUUUCAGGCAGCCCUAAUGUAACUUUUGAGAUCGAACAUAUAAAGGACGCUACGCUACCCGCCGUUCUGGAGGCAUUGCGAGCGCUCUGUGUUUUUGACCGCCCGAUCGAUUACCUACAGUGAUUGUUUGGCUGCUAGCGACUGGUCAACCGUCCACUAUUUUCCAAGCUCAUGGCCGCUUCAAGAGAGGAUGACAUGUGGGGUCGUGAGGCUGCGGGGGCCAGCGAGCAGAGGGUGGGUUUCGCUGGAGGCACGUGAAUGAUUCCUCUUUGAAAAACCUAGCGCACCAGGAGCCCAAGACCAAUCCUCUUCCUCCUCGAGCCCCACACCACUCCGCCCCGUCCUGCCUCCCCUGCUCCUCUCGCGCCGCCGCCUUCUCUCAUGGCCCUCUUCCCCGGCGCUCGAGCAGCAGCGGGGGCUCCACUAGUACGAUCUAGCCAGAACAGGUGCAGGUCGCCGGCAUCCGGCGCCACGCGACGUGAUUCUGGAUCGGGCGCAGAUCUCUGUCAGGAUAGUAGGAUUGGCUGCUGCAAUGAGAGCAGCAGAUGAACCCACCUUGUCGAGCCCCAACCCGGCGGCUACCUGCAGAGGAGGAGAGGUCAAGGAUGGCUCCCAUCACCCGUCACAGGUAGGGUUAGCGAGGAGGAGGUUGUCCGCAAAGAGGCAGUGUGGUGGCUAGGCAGCCACCUCUCCCCUCCUCCUCCCAACAAGUGGCGGCUCGAUGGUCCAUGGCGUCAUCGUCGUCAUCCUUGGUAGUAGGAGCAUGGGCCGCAGAGAAGGCCGGCUCUUGCGUGGUCGUUUGUCCACUCGAGAAGCCCGCCCGCCCACCCGUCAUCCACGCCCCUGCUCCUUAGGCCGUUCUUGUCCCUUCAGGCAGGUGAGCUCCUUUCUCCUCUCUUGCCCCCUUUGAUUUUGUGCUGGUAGAUGUGUUUGUUGUUGGUUUUGCUGCUGCCUGCUGCCAGGCUUCGCUGCUGCUUGGCCUGACUCUGCUUGUGUUGCUACUAUGUGCUACUAUGUGUUGUUGGUUGCCUCCUUAUUUGGUUAUUUGUGAAUCUGAAAACACCUUGUGAGAAGCAAUGAUUGAGGAGAAGGCUAUAUAAGCCAAUGAGAAGAGCUUCAUUCUCAGGGUUUUUUAAGAAUUGAUGAAGGACAUGUCAUAUGUUCAGUUGCUAACAUUCUCUCUAUGGUGUAUGCACUUGUUGUUCAUUGCAUUGGAGGGAGAGGAAUACACUUUGUGAGAAGCAGGGAUUGAAGAGAAGGCUAUGAGGCAAUGAGAAAAGCUUAAUAUUUCGUUUUUUAUUUAAGAAUUGAUGAAGGCCACCACCACCUACCUACUGACUAUGUUUAUGCAUGUCUGUGUUGUGAUGUGCACGGGAGCAUGAUUUGUUCUGGCACUUAAAGCAUUAACACGCCUAUAAUACAGGCCUUGAGUCUACAAAGUAUCCUAAACAUUGUGUGUGUGUGUGUGUGUGUGUGAAGUGUCAGUGCUUCUGUGUAGGAACUAGGAAGUCUAAUAGGGUGUGUUUCCAUUUCUUUUGCCUUUCUGAUCAGCACAAUUGGCCCAGGAUGCGUGUAAGCUUUGUUCUGAUGAGGAAGCUGACUGUGUGCGUCA